ACGCUGGCGGUGUGCUUCACACAUGCAAGUCGAACGAGGUAGCAAUACCUAGUGGCGGACGGGUGAGUAACGCGUGGGAAUCUGCCUUUAGAUGGGGGAUAACGGGUCGAAAGACUCGCUAAUACCGCAUAUGACGAAAGUUGAAAGGAGUAAUCGUCUAAAGAUGAGCCCGCGUCCGAUUAGCUAGUUGGUAGAGUAAAAGCCUACCAAGGCGACGAUCGGUAGCUGGUCUGAGAGGAUGAUCAGCCACAAUGGGACUGAGACACGGCCCAUACUCCUACGGGAGGCAGCAGUGGGGAAUUUUACGCAAUGGGCGAAAGCCUGACGUAGCGACACCGCGUGAGCGAAGAAGCCCCUUGGGGUGUAAAGCUCUGUCAGCUGGAACGAAAAAAUGACGGUACCAGCAGAGGAAGCAUCGGCUAACUACGUG
rnacentral:rRNA from 1 species